UUAUUUAUUAAAUUAUUUUUAUUAUUUGUUUAUUCUUAAUUUAAUUUAAAUAAUUUUAUUGGUUAUGUGUUUUAGUAUAUUUUAUAGAAUAGAUUUUAGUUAUUAUAAUAUAUUAGUAAUGUAAUUGGUUUAUGAAAUAUUUAUUUAAAUAAAAUUAAGUAGAUUUAAUUUAUUGUACCUUUUGUAUCAGGGUUUAUCAAAAUAAUAGUAUAUAAUAAUACUAUUCUCAAUUUAGGUUGAUUUAUAAAUAUAUUUUAGUUAAUGUAAUAUAAUUAUUAAAAAUAUAUUUAUAGAAAUGAAAUGUUAAUCGUUUCCUAAUAUAUUUAGUUUCCUAAGAAUAAAAUUUAAUUUUAAGAGCUUAAUUUUAUAUUUAAUUUUUGAAUUGAUAAUACAAGCUUAUAAAUUCUUUAGGGGAUAAGCUCUAAAGAUAAAAACCCUAUAAUAUUUUUAAUUUUAAUAGAAUAGUAAGCUUUAAACCAGCUAUUUUUUGAUUACGUUUUAGUUCAUUAUUUUUUAUUUUGAUUUUAUAAAUUUUUUAGGUUUUUUAUUAGGAUGAUUAAUUUAAUAUUUUAAUUUUUGUAAUAAUGAUGGAAUUAGUAUAUUAUUUUGUUUAUAAUAUUAAAUUUUAAUAAUUUAUUAUAAGGAAUUAGGCAAAUCAAUUUCCGCCUGUUUAUCAAAAACAUGUCCUCUUGAUUUAAAUUUUGAGGUCUGGCCUGCUCACUGAUGAAUUUAAAGAGCCGCGGUAUUUUGACCGUGCAAAGGUAGCAUAAUCAUUAGUCUCUUAAUUAGGGGCUGGAAUGAAUGGCUUAACGAGAAAUUAACUGUCUCUUAAUAAUUUAUAAAAUUUAACUUUUGAGUUAAAAGGCUUAAAUUUUCCUUAAGGACGAGAAGACCCUAUAGAGCUUGACAUUUCAUUUAUAUAUAUUUUUUAGUUUGUCUUUUUAUGUUUAAUGAUAAUGUUUUGUUGGGGUGACAUGAAGAAUAAAUAAACUCUUCAUUAUUAAAUCAUUAAUUUAUGUUUAUUUUGAUCCAUAAUUUAUGAUCAUAAGAUUAAGUUACCUUAGGGAUAACAGCGUAAUUGUUUUUGAGAGCUCAUAUCAACAAAGCAGAUUGCGACCUCGAUGUUGGAUUAAGAAAAAUUUUGGGUGCAGUAGCUCAUUAAUUAGGUCUGUUCGACCUUUAAACAUGAUCUGAGUUCAGACCGGCGUGAGCCAGGUCGGUUUCUGUCCUAAGAUUUAUAAAUUCAUAUUAGUACGAAAGGACCAUAAGGUUGAAAUAUUUUUUAUUUAAUUGAGUAAACUUAAUUU
rnacentral:rRNA from 1 species